rnacentral:rRNA from 1 species
AUUGAACGCUGGCGGCAGGCCUAACACAUGCAAGUCGAACGGUAGCACAGAGAGCUUGCUCUCGGGUGACGAGUGGCGGACGGGUGAGUAAUGUCUGGGAAACUGCCCGAUGGAGGGGGAUAACUACUGGAAACGGUAGCUAAUACCGCAUAACGUCGCAAGACCAAAGUGGGGGACCUUCGGGCCUCACACCAUCGGAUGUGCCCAGAUGGGAUUAGCCAGUAGGUGGGGUAAUGGCUCACCUAGGCGACGAUCCCUAGCUGGUCUGAGAGGAUGACCAGCCACACUGGAACUGAGACACGGUCCAGACUCCUACGGGAGGCAGCAGUGGGGAAUAUUGCACAAUGGGCGCAAGCCUGAUACAGCCAUGCCGCGUGUAUGAAGAAGGCCUUCGGGUUGUAAAGUACUUUCAGCGGGGAGGAAGGCGGUGAAGUUAAUAGCUUCACCGAUUGACGUUACCCGCAGAAGAAGCACCGGCUAACUCCGUGCCAGCCGCCGCAGUAAUAC